rnacentral:rRNA from 1 species
GACGAACGCUGGCGGCGUGCUUAACACAUGCAAGUCGAACGGAAAGGCCCUGCUUUUGUGGGGUGCUCGAGUGGCGAACGGGUGAGUAACACGUGAGUAACCUGCCCUUGACUUUGGGAUAACUUCAGGAAACUGGGGCUAAUACCGGAUAGGAGCUCCUGCUGCAUGGUGGGGGUUGGAAAGUUUCGGCGGUUGGGGAUGGACUCGCGGCUUAUCAGCUUGUUGGUGGGGUAGUGGCUUACCAAGGCUUUGACGGGUAGCCGGCCUGAGAGGGUGACCGGCCACAUUGGGACAGAGAUACGGCCCAGACUCCUACGGGAGGCAGCAGUGGGGAAUAUUGCAAAAUGGGCGGAAGCCUGAUGCAGCAACGCCGCGUGCGGGAUGACGGCCUUCGGGUUGUAAACCGCUUUCGCCUGUGACGAAGCGUGAGUGACGGUAAUGGGUAAAGAAGCACCGGCUAACUACG